GUCUACGGCCAUACUACCCUGAACGCGCCCGAUCUCGUCUGAUCUCGGAAGCUAAGCAGGGUCGGGCCUGGUUAGUACUUGGAUGGAAGAAGCAUUAUUCCAUUUUUCUACAAAUAAUAAAUAAUUCCUUGUAUACC
rnacentral:rRNA from 1 species